GGAGGCUGAGGCAGAAGAAUUGCUUGAACCUGGGAGGUGGAGGCUACAGUGAGCUGAGAUCAUGCCACUGCACUCCAGCCUGGGCAAGAAAGUGAGACUCCAUCUCAAAACAAAGAAACAAACAAAGUAUUAAUAUGUUCCCCUUGAUCAGUGGGGUGGUUCACCCUUGUAAUCCCAGCACUUUGGGAGGCAGAGGCUGGCGGAUCGCUUGAGUCCAGGAGUUCGAGACCAGCCUGGGUGAACUAGCAAAACCCUGCCUGUACUAAAAAUACAAAAAUUAACUGGGCUUGGUGGUGCGAGCCUGUAAUCCCAGUGGAGGCUGAGACAGGAGAAUCCUUUUGUAAUGCCUGACCUUGUUUUUUUACUAACCCUAUUUUUAAAUUUUCCCUUUUUGUCUCCUUAAUUACCUAGCCUUGUUUCCCAUAUGAGUAGACUCUCCCUUAGCUGGGAAAGCCUGACGAACGCCAUCUGGCCCCUUGAUUUACAAGACAUUAAGGGCUACUUACCCAACCCCCUUCCUCAAAGAGUUAACCUGCGUAAGCAGAUCCUCAGCAUUUCAAAGGAGCCCAAUUAGCUGAUAAGGUACUGGAACAAACAAUGUACGAAGUUCCCAGGAUUUUGCUCAAAAGCAUAACAACAUAAAGCCUUGAGUCUGUGUCUGGCAUAGCAUCCAUAUCUAACUCUUAUGAAGGAUUUAGAGCCCGGCACCUGGUUCCGUUGCUUUUUUUGUAACCAUUUGUCUUUUAAAUUGUUUAUUUCUCUGUAACCAUUUGUUUUUUGAUUCUUGCAUGUUUUUACUUCUGUAGAAUUAUUGCAUUUGAGCUCCGCUCCCCUUCCGAACCAAGGUAUAAAAGUAAAUCAAGCCCCU
rnacentral:lncRNA from 1 species